CCCUGUAUCGAAAGGUGAUCACGGCGUCUUGUAGCCUGGUCAUUUAAUAAAUACAGGAACAUGAACCUGCGAGCCUUUCCCGUGUUUGAAGGAUUAACAGUUCCUGUCAGACCCUGGCGCUCUCAGACA
rnacentral:snoRNA from 1 species